UGAGGUGUUUGACGAGCAGGUGUCCACAUACUUUUGUAGACACUGGUAUAGUGCUGGAGAUAAUGAAUGAGGUUGAAAUGUGGCGGAAUUGGCCUUUAAGGUGAGGCUUUUAUUGGGAAUUAAGUGAAAGGGGAGACCUAGUCAGGUGCACAACUGAAGUGCAUUUAUCCGAAAUGUGUCUUCUGCAUUUAACCCAACCCCUCUGAAUCGGAGAGGUGCAGGGGUCUGCCUUAAUCGAUGUUCAGGUCUGAACCUUCCAUUUUAGAAUGUAAAUAUAUUUAUUUAGUUUCCUGUCAUGAAUGAUACAUGUUAUGUACAACAAUUUAGUAUAUCAGGAUUUGUCACUCAUCUACAAAAUGUUAGAGAAUUGAGAACAUUGUUUUUACUGUGUCAUGAUGCAACAGACAGUACAAUGUAACUGUUGUCUUUGAUUCAACCGGCCCCUAUAAUCUGUGCUUCAUCAUAAACACCUCUGGACUGGUCUCCCUGCCUUUUCAUAUGGCCCUAUUUAUUAUACACAAUAACCUUAUUUCUACACACACUUGUGUGUGUGUAUUCCCACUUGGGAAGAGGACACGGUGGUGGAGAGACAAGACAGAGACGGGAGAAAAACAAUGCAGUACUAAAGAAACAAAAAGGAAGCCGACAUUGUAGCAAGUUAUUCAAAAGCAGUCAGUACAACAGUUUAAUCCCUUCGGCUAGAGUUGCUGACAGUGGCUAACCCUUUAAAAUGGCCCCUGUCCUGCCUCGUGAUGUUGGAGCGCCCCCUGUCUUUAUACAUAAAGAUACCUGCUUUCAACAGGCCAGUUUCACCCGCACAAAUCCUCCCACAGGACUGAAUCCCCUUGGCUUCCCCAAACACACUUGACCACUUGUCUUCAUACGCCAGUGAGCAGGCCAAAGCCGAACAAGGUCAGUGAUAUGCUGGUCAGUGAUAGGCUGGUCAUUUAUGAACAUUUGAACAUCUUGGCCAUGUUCUGUUAUAAUCUCCACCCAGCACAGCCAGAAGAGGACUGGCCACCCCUCAUAGCCUGGUUCCUCUCUAGGUUUCUUCCUAGGUUUCGGCCUUUCUAGGGAGUUUUUCCUAGCCACCGUGCUUCUACACCUGCAUUGCUUGCUGUUUGGGGUUUUAGGAUGGGUUUAUGUACAGCACUUUGAUAUAUCAGCUGAUGUAAGAAGGGCUAUAUAAAUAAAAUGUAUAUUUGAGACAGAUUGAUGAGAAGCUUGCAUUGAUGGAAAGAUACUGGAUGGAUGUUAGUAUCAAUCAAAACCUGAAUGUUAUUGAACUCAAACUGUUAAACGUAAUGAUUUUAUCUACAAAUGUGAUUUUUGUUGUUGUUGUUGUUGUUGUUAGAGAUGGUGAUGAUCAGUUCACUGAAUUAUUCAGUGAUAUGUCUGUUAAUUGUUGUACACUUAAACUAUGUGUUUACCUUGAUGAACACAGAAGAAUGUUUAUCUAUGAUAAUUUGAGUGACCAAUGAAUAUGUGUAUUUUAUGGAGGGUAUUACAUUUUUUAAAUAUGUGCAAAUAAGACAUUGAGAAGAUGAAUAAUUUACAGUUGUUGGAAUACAGGAAUGACAAGGCAAUUUAGAGUUGAUGUAUCCCAAUUAAGCAUAGGAUCCACUGUACAUCACAUCUUCACAACAGAGGAACCUGACCCAGCCAACAAGCCUGCAGAGUACAGAGGGACCAACCAGUCACGUCAUGAUUGAAGCUGACCGAGAGCUAUCAGUCAUGGUGCAGGAAAUAUGGGAUAAAGACGUCAACAGACUGAAACCAGGGACAGACUACCGGAUCUCUCUGCAGGGGAAAGCCAGGACUGUGAAUGCUGACAUGAAUGAUGACAGUGAUGGAGCUGGAUAUCCUCUAUUCUCGUUUGUCGAUGAAAGCAUUUUCAAAAAGGAGUCUUUCUUAGCCUUUAUCUCUCUACUGGAUAACUAUGAAAGUGAUACCGGUGAGCCUGAGACUGUAACCCCAGAGGAGGAAGCAGAAAACCACACGUUUCUGGACUGCAUGCUUCGAAUGCCCACCAUGAAGGUAUCAGUUAAAACAUAUGGUGGAUAGGUCGGUAACAAGAAUACUGUAUCUUUAUUUAGUCUGAUUGCACAUUAGUACCUAGUAGAGGAACCGCUCUCCCCAGAGGUAUUACCGGAAUUCAAGGAGCAACUCUACCGUAUCUGGUUUGAGCUGUACGCCAGACGAGGAACUAGCAAGCCGGACUCCUCAGGGUUUGAGCAUGUCUUUGUCGGAGAGACCAGAGGGGGCCGCACAGUCAUCGGCUUUCAUACCUGGAUCCAG